ensembl:snRNA U6 U6 spliceosomal RNA
AUGCUAGCUUCAGCAGCACAUAUACUAAAAUUGGAAUGAUACAGAGAAGAUUAGCAUGGCCUCUGCA